rnacentral:rRNA from 1 species
AAAACUUACCAGGUCAAGACAUGGGCGUGAUUGACAGGCUAAUGACUUUUCUCGAUUCCAUGGAUGGUGGUGCAUGGUCGCACUUAGUUGGUGCAGUGAUUUGUCAGGUUUAUUCCGGUAACGAACGAGACCUCGGCCUUGUAAAUAGCUAUGCUGCUUACAGGGACAUUGGCGGCUACGCCAAGGAAGCUCGAGGCAAUUGCAGAUCUGGAAUGCCUUUAGAUGUCCUGGGUCGCACGCGUGCUACAAUGACGCCACGAACGAGCUUGCGUGAUGAAAGUUACGCAUAAUCAGCAGUCGGCGUCUUAAGGGAUAGUCUCUUGUAACUGUGGGACUCCAACUAGGAAUGUCUCGUAAGCACAAGUCAACAUCUUGUGUUGAUUACGUCCCUGCUCUUUGUACACACCGCCCGUCGCUCCUACCGAUCGAGUGUUUAGGUGAAUUUGAUGGACGUAAGGAAGUCAAAUAAACCUGAGCACUAGAGAAGAGAAGUCGACAUC